rnacentral:tRNA from 1 species
CUCCGCUUGGUGUAGUUGGUUGUCAGUACUCCCACUCAAAGUGAUCAUCACACAGUCAUACUAACCCGCAUUAGUAUCACGUUCGACUGUAAUAUUACUUUGUAAUCGAAAGGUCCCUAGUUCGAUUCUGGGAGCGGAGA